UAUCUCCCUGAGUGGACCUUGGAGUCGGGUUGUUUGUGAAUGCAGCCCAAAGUGGGUGGUAAACUCCAUCCAAGGCUAAAUACUAACACGAGUCCGAUAGCGAACAAGUACCGUGAGGGAAAGUUGAAAAGUACUUUGAAGAGAGAGUAAACAGUGCGUGAAACCGCUCAGAGGUAAACGGGUGGAGUUGAACUGCAAGCUCUGAGAAUUCAACUGGUGAGUAUGGCAUGAGCUGGGUAUAUUGGUUGACGGUUCGGGUCUGCUGAGCUGCAGGUCCUCGCCUUUUGGUGGGGAUGCGCGAUGCACUUGCCAAGUGUUGUGCGCCCGGACUGUAUCGGACCUGCUUGCCAGUGCACUUUCUCAGAGUAAUCACCACGACCGGCGUUGCUGUCUGGCUGUUGUAGUUAAACCGGCCUUGUAGAGUCCUUGUGGCUUUGCUUGGUCGGGAUGGCAGGUAGCCCGUUGUGCACUUUUGUGUGCUUCGGGUGUAAUCGCUGACUGCAUCAGUUCUGUGCGGUACGUCGGAGACGGCGGCUUGUUGUGUGUGCGUGCGUACUUGUUAUGCUGGCGGUGCUGAGUCUGGUUGCCGUGUUGCUUGCAAAUGCAAGCCCGGUGAUGGCUUGGUGUCGUUCGGUGUGCGGUUGCGUGCGUGGCACUAUACAGGGCCAAUAGUCUGUGGUGUAGUGGUAGACUAUCCACCUGACCCGUCUUGAAACACGGACCAAGGAGAGUAACAUGUACGCGAGUCAUUGGGCGUUACGAAACCCAAAGGCGCAGUGAAAGUAAAGGUUCGGCUUGUCCGGACUGAGGUGAGAUCCUGCCGUUUCUCACGCGCGGUACUACCAAGCAUCGAGCGGCAGGCGCAUCACCGGCCCGUCCCAUGGCGUAGAGGCGGCCUUGUGCUUGCUCAUCGUCGGGGCGGAGCAUGAGCGUACAUGUUGAGACCCGAAAGAUGGUGAACUAUGCUUGCGCAGGUUGAAGCCAGAGGAAACUCUGGUGGAGGACCGCAGCGA
rnacentral:rRNA from 1 species